AUUGAACGCUGGCGGCAGGCUUAACACAUGCAGGUCGAGCGGGGGAGGUUGCUUCGGUAACUGACCUAGCGGCGGACGGGUGAGUAAUGCUUAGGAAUCUGCCUAUUAGUGGGGGACAACAUUCCGAAAGGGAUGCUAAUACCGCAUACGCCCUACGGGGGAAAGCAGGGGAUCUUCGGACCUUGCGCUAAUAGAUGAGCCUAAGUCGGAUUAGCUAGUUGGUGGGGUAAAGGCCUACCGGGGCGACGAUCUGUAGCGGGUCUGAGAGGAUGAUCCGCCACACUGGGACUGAGACACGGCCCAGACUCCUACGGGAGGCAGCAGUGGGGAAUAUUGGACAAUGGGCGGAAGCCUGAUCCAGCCAUGCCGCGUGUGUGAAGAAGGCCUUAUGGUUGUAAAGCACUUUAAGCGAGGAGGAGGCUCUUUUGGUUAAUACCCAAGAUGAGUGGACGUUACUCGCAGAAUAAGCACCGGCUAACUCUGUGCCAGCCGCAGCAGUAAUAC
rnacentral:rRNA from 1 species